UAUUUUGACUAUACGAAGGUAUUGAAAUAAGGCUUUAAAUGAGUGCUAAGAGAAUGGUUAAACAAUUGGAAGCUUUCUUUAAUUAAUAAAUUGAAUUUAAUUUUUUUGUGAAGAAGCAAAAAUUUGAAUUAGGGACAAGAAGACCCUAUGAAUUUUAUAUUAAAUUUACAUAAAAUAUGUUUUUUAAUAAUUUAAUUUGGUUGGGGCGACAGAAAAAGAAUAUAUAUCUUUUGGUGUAAAGUAGUUAAUUUGUUCCGUUAUUAACGAUUAAAUGAGAAAAAUACUCUAGGGAUAACAGCGUAAUAAUUUUGGAUAGUUCAUAUAGAUAAAAUAGUUUGCGACCUCGAUGUUGGAUUAGGAUUCUUUUUUAGUGAAGAAGUUAAAUAAAAGAAGUUUGUUCAACUUUUAAAUUCCU
rnacentral:rRNA from 1 species